rnacentral:rRNA from 1 species
UACGUAGGGACCAAGCGUUUUUCGGAUUUACUGGGCGUAAAGGGCGCGUAGGCGGCGCGGUAAGUCACUUGUGAAAUCUCUGAGCUUAACUCAGAACGGCCAAGUGAUACUGCAGUGCUAGAGUGUGGAAGGGGCAAUCGGAAUUCUUGGUGUAGCGGUGAAAUGCGUAGAUAUCAGGAAGAACACCUAUGGCGAAGGCAGCACUCUGGGACGGUACUGACGCUGAGACGCGAAAGCGUGGGGAGCGAACAGG